CCUACGGGGCGCAGCAGUGGGGAAUAUUGGACAAUGGGCGAAAGCCUGAUCCAGCCAUGCCGCGUGUGUGAAGAAGGCCUUCGGGUUGUAAAGCACUUUCAGUGGGGAAGAAAGCCUUGGGGCUAAUACCCUCGAGGAAGGACAUCACCCACAGAAGAAGCACCGGCUAACUCCGUGCCAGCAGCCGCGGGAAUACGGAGGGUGCGAGCGUUAAUCGGAAUUACUGGGCGUAAAGCGCGCGUAGGCGGUCUGAUAAGCCGGUUGUGAAAGCCCCGGGCUCAACCUGGGAACGGCAUCCGGAACUGUCAGGCUAGAGUGCAGGAGAGGAAGGUAGAAUUCCCGGUGUAGCGGUGAAAUGCGUAGAGAUCGGGAGGAAUACCAGUGGCGAAGGCGGCCUUCUGGACUGACACUGACGCUGAGGUGCGAAAGCGUGGGUAGCAAACAGGAUUAGAUACCCUAGUAGUC
rnacentral:rRNA from 1 species